ensembl:lncRNA
GUAUAGGAUGGCUGUGUUGGGUUGGAAGGGGUCCUAUAUAGGUCCUAUAUGUAUGGGGUGGUUGGGUUGGAUGGGUCCUGAAAGGUUAAAAAGGCUUUGGAUGGUGAUAUUGGUUGAGAAGGUCCUGGAAGGUCACAAAAGGGGUGGGCUGGGCGGGUCCUGGAAGGUCAAAGAGGUGUGGGAGGGUUGGGUUGGGUUGGAAGGGGUCUUCUGGAUCCUAUAUGUGUGGGGUGGUUGUGGUUGGAUGGGUCCUGAAAGGUUAUAAAGGCUUUGGAUGGUGAUAUUGGUUGGGAAGGUCCUGGAAGGUCACAAAAGGGGAGGGCUGGGCGGGUCCUGGAAGGGGGAAGAGGUGUGGGAGGGUUGGGUCGGGUUGGAAGGGGUCUUCUGGAUCCUAUAUGUGUGGGGUGGUUGUGGUUGGAUGGGUCCUGAAAGGUUAUAAAGGCUUUGGAUGGUGAUAUUGGUUGGGAAGGUCCUGGAAGGUCACAAAAGGGGAGGGCUGGGCGGGUCCUGGAAGGGGGAAGAGGUAUAGGAUGGCUGUGUUGGGUUGGAAGGGGUCUUAUAGGUCUUAUAUGUAUGGGGUGGUUGUGGUUGGAUGGGUCCUGAAAGGUUAAAAAGGCUUUGGAUGGUGAUAUUGGUUGGGAAGGUCCUGGAAGGUCACAAAGGGGAGGGGCAGGGAGGUCCUGGAAGGGGAAAGAGGUGUGGGAGGGUUGGGUUGGGUUUAUAGGGUCCUUAAAGAGGAGAGGGUCAAAGGAUGGUUGGGUUGGAUGGGUCCCGGAAGGUUAAAAAGGCUUUGGAUGGUGAUAUUGGU